rnacentral:misc_RNA from 1 species
GUAGGUGAACCUGCGGAAGGAUCAUUACCGAGAGCACCCCUCCGGGGGUCACCUCCCACCCGUGAUUAUUUACCGAUGUUGCUUUGGCGGGCGGCUUGCUCCGGCAUGCCCAUCGUCCGCCAGAGGCCCCGAAAAUCCCAGUGUCCCAUACAGUCCGAGCGAACACAAAAUCAGUCAAAACUUUCAACAACGGAUCUCUUGGUUCCG